UAGUAUAAGCAUUAUACCGCGAAACUGCGAAUGGCUCAUUAUAUAAGUUAUCGUUUAUUUGAUAGUACCUUACUACUUGGAUAACCGUGGUAAUUCUAGAGCUAAUACAUGCUAAAAAUCCCGACUUCGGAAGGGAUGUAUUUAUUAGAUUAAAAACCAAUGCCCUUCGGGGCUCACUGGUGAUUCAUGAUAACUCCUCGAAUCGCAUGGCCUUGUGCCGGCGAUGGUUCAUUCAAAUUUCUUCCCUAUCAACUUUCGAUGUUUGGGUAUUGGCCAAACAUGGUUGCAACGGGUAACGGAGGGUUAGGGCUCGACCCCGGAGAAGGAGCCUGAAAAACGGCUACUACAUCCAAGGAAGGCAGCAGGCGCGCAAAUUACCCAAUCCCGACACGGGGAGGUAGUGACAAUAAAUACUGAUACAGGGCUCUUUUGGGUCUUGUAAUUGGAAUGAGUACAAUUUAAAUCCCUUAACGAGGAACAAUUGGAGGGCAAGUCUGGUGCCAGCAGCCGCGGUAAUUCCAGCUCCAAUAGCGUAUAUUAAAGUUGUUGUGGUUAAAAAGCUCGUANUUGAACCUUGGGCCUGGCUGGCCGGUCCGCCUCACCGCGUGUACUGGUCCGGCCGGGCCUUUCCCUCUGUGGAACCCCAUGCCCUUCACUGGGUGUGGCGGGGAAACAGGACUUUUACUGUGAAAAAAUUANAGUGCUCNNNGCANCCUAUGCUCGAAUACAUUANC
rnacentral:rRNA from 1 species